GACGAACGCUGGCGGCGUGCUUAACACAUGCAAGUCGAACGGAAAGGCCCUGCUUUUGUGGGGUGCUCGAGUGGCGAACGGGUGAGUAACACGUGAGUAACCUGCCCUUGACUUUGGGAUAACUUCAGGAAACUGGGGCUAAUACCGGAUAGGAUCUCCUGCUGCAUGGUGGGGGUUGGAAAGUUUCGGCGGUUGGGGAUGGACUCGCGGCUUAUCAGCUUGUUGGUGGGGUAGUGGCUUACCAAGGCUUUGACGGGUAGCCGGCCUGAGAGGGUGACCGGCCACAAUGGGACUGAGAGACGGCGCAGACUCCUACGGGAGGCAGCAGUGGGGAAUAUUGCACAAUGGGCGGAAGCCUGAUGCAGAAACGCCGCGUGCGGGAUGACGGCCUUCGGGUUGUAAACAGCUUUAGCCUGUGACGAAGCGUGAGUGACGGUAAUGGGUAAAGAAGCACCGGCUAACUACGUG
rnacentral:rRNA from 1 species